rnacentral:rRNA from 1 species
AUUGAACGCUGGCGGCAGGCUUAACACAUGCAAGUCGAACGAGUGGCGGACGGGUGAGUAAUGUUUGGGAAUCUGCCUGAUGGAGGGGGAUACCUACGGGAAACGGUAGCUAAUACCGCAUACCAUCGGGUGAGCCCAGGUGGGAUUAGGUAGUUGGUGGGGUAAAGGCUCACCAAGCCGACGAUCCCUAGCUGGUCUGAGAGGAUGACCAGCCACACUGGGACUGAGACACGGCCCAGACUCCUACGGGAGGCAGCAGUGGGGAAUAUUGCGCAAUGGGGGCAACCCUGACGCAGCCAUGCCGCGUGAAUGAAGAAGGCCUUCGGGUUGUAAAGUACUUUCGGUAGGGAGGCGUUAACUACAGAAGAAGCACCGGCUAACUCCGUGCCAGCAGCCGCGGUAAUUC